rnacentral:misc_RNA from 1 species
CGCCGAAGGUGGGGCUGAUGACUGGGGUGAAGUCGUAACAAGGUAGCCGUACCGGAAGGUGCGGCUGGAUCACCUCCUAACAGGGAGACAACAACUGAUCGUGAUGUCUAAGUUAUUUAUCCUUAGGCCAUGAUCCUGUCACCUUAGGUCGAUCGGUACCUCAGCUCAAUAGAUAAAUAAAAUCUAAGUUAUUAGCUUAUAUAUAGCUAUUGAGUUCAGUUCCUAAACUUUGUCUAGGUCACACCCAACAAGGGUACUCCUGGGCCAUUAGCUCAGGUGGUUAGAGCGCACCCCUGAUAAGGGUGAGGUCCCUGGUUCAAGUCCAGGAUGGCCCAUUCGGUUUUGGGGGUAUAGCUCAGUUGGUAGAGCGCCUGCUUUGCAAGCAGGAUGUCAGCGGUUCGAGUCCGCUUACCUCCACUGAUCGACCUCUUGAUCACAAAGAUUAAGGAGAGCUUUGUUGAUGGUUUGAUUUAGACUUUGUUCCCUCUGAAAUGAACCUAGCUUCCUAUCAUUCCUUUUUGACUAAGUCAAUUUAGGUUGGAAGGAUGCUGGGCUCUCUGCAUUUAUUAAAUGUGGAAGAAGUUCAGUAGAACCUUGAAAACUGCAUAGUGAGUCUGGAAAGAAUAAAGCAUCUCAUGGAUGGAUUAUUCUUCUUAUUUAUUAAUAGUUAUUCUGCGAAAGUGGUUGAUUAUUGAUAACUUAUGGAAGAGUAAUUUCUUAAAAUUCUUGAGUAAGAGCCGAGACUCUAAAACUUUCAACUUUUAGAGUUAAAAAUGGUCAAGCUACAAAGGGC